GGCCAUACAACUCCUGUCCAACGCUGCCUGGAGUGAAACUUAUCAGCUGCCUCAUGGCUGCCUGAGGGAAAUGAGUUUAUAACGACUAAAACGAACAGAAGACCAGCCCACUCACUCACCUCCUCUCGCCUGUGUUUCUCAGCUUUACUGACGUUGUCCAGCGGGGCGAUGUCUCCCACGAUGCACUCGGCCAUGUCAUGGACUAGAGACAGCUUCAUGCACCUGAAGUCAGGCAAUAGGAGGGCAGCCCGUGUCCAAAGAGACAGCUGACUGCGUGAAAGAGCUCACCUGUCCUUGUCCACCGUGGGGUCAGUGAUGGUGAGAGACAUGAGGGCCAUGCGGUACAUGUGGUCUGACACACUCUCUGGCUCCUUCACCUCUCUGUACACCCAGCCUGUCCGAGGAACCCUCUGCGGAAGUAAAGAAAGAAGAACGAAAAGAGCUAUCGAUUUGCAGGAGCUUUUGUGGAGCAUCAGUGUGCUGAAGAACGCUGCUGUGAGAAGAGGACGGACUCUUAAAUGUAUUUACGGAGGAGUAUGAAGCCGGACUCGAAGCAGCGACCUCAGAUGCUUACUACUCUGACUUUGUUGGAUAAAUGUGGAAAAACCGGAGGCAUUACACGAGUGGAACGAAGGUAAACAACAUCCAAUAUUAACUAUUUUCUUUAUUAAAUGUUGAAAAGUAGUCCGUGACAUUCCAUUUGUGUAGUUAUUAGCCUCAUCUCGAGUGAACAGAAUGCUAAUGCUAACAAGCUAACGCUA